rnacentral:rRNA from 1 species
GUCCACGCCGUAAACGAUGUCGACUAGCCGUUGGGCCCUUAUGGGGUUUAGUGGCGCAGCUAACGCAUUAAGUCGACCGCCUGGGGAGUACGGCCGCAAGGUUAAAACUCAAAUGAAUUGACGGGGCCCGCACAAGCGGUGGAGCAUGUGGUUUAAUUCGAUGCAACGCGAAGAACCUUACCUACCCUUGACAUCCAGAGAAUCUGUUAGAGAUAGUGGAGUGCCUUCGGGAACUCUGAGACAGGUGCUGCAUGGCUGUCGU